AAGAAGACCUCUAAUGAAAGGCUGUGCAAGUUCUACAAGUCACCUAAACAUGAGCAGAAGGAUUGACAUGGAUUUAAGGAGUGGCUUAAGAACAAAGGUAUUCAGUUCGAUCCGAACUAUAAGAGAGGGGGAGCGAAGUCUAAGAGUGGCUGAUGGCAAUGAAGUGAAGGUUGAAGGCAUUGGGAGCUUCAAUUUGGAGUUACCAGACGGCUUCAACCUUAGUUUGCAUGAUGUUCUUUAUGUUCCCAGUUUGAAGAGAAACCUUAUUUCUGUUUCGCGUUUAGAUAAGUCGGGACAUAUUUGUGAGUUUGGCAACUCUGUGUGCAACAUUAAAUUUCAUAAUUUAAGUGUGGGCCUUGGUCAUUUGCAAGGCGAUCUUUAUUUGCUC